rnacentral:rRNA from 1 species
UGACCCGUCUUGAAGCACGGACCAAGGAGUCUAACAUGUGCGCGAGUCAUUGGGCCGUAUGAAACCUAAAGGCGUAAUGAAAGUGAAGGUCUCGCCUUGCGCGGGCCGAGGGAGGAUGGGGCUUCCGCAUCACUGCGGCGGCCUCCGCACUCCCGGGGCGUCUCGUCCUCAUUGCGAGGUGAGGCGCACCUAGAGCGUACACGUUGGGACCCGAAAGAUGGUGAACUAUGCCUGGCCAGGACGAAGUCAGGGGAAACCCUGAUGGAGGUCCGUAGCGAUUCUGACGUGCAAAUCGAUCGUCGGAGCUGGGUAUAGGGGCGAAAGACUAAUCGAACCAUCUAGUAGCUGGUUCCCUCCGAAGUUUCCCUCAGGAUAGCUGGUGCUCGUACGAGUCUCAUCCGGUAAAGCGAAUGAUUAGAGGCCUUGGGGCCGAAACGACCUCAACCUAUUCUCAAACUUUAAAUGGGUGAGAUCUCCGGCUUGCUUGAUAUGCUGAAGCCGCGAGCAAACGACUCGGAUCGGAGUGCCAAGUGGGCCACUUUUGGUAAGCAGAACUGGCGCUGUGGGAUGAACCAAACGCCGAGUUAAGGCGCCCGAAUCGACGCUCAUGGGAAACCAUGAAAGGCGUUGGUUGCUUAAGACAGCAGGACGGUGGCCAUGGAAGUCGGAAUCCGCUAAGGAGUGUGUAACAACUCACCUGCCGAAGCAACUAGCCCUGAAAAUGGAUGGCGCUGAAGCGUCGUGCCUAUACUCGGCCGUCAGUCUGGCAGUCAUGGCCGGUCCUCGCGGCCGGCCGCGAAGCCCUGACGAGUAGGAGGGUCGCGGCGGUGAGCGCAGAAGGGUCUGGGCGUGAGCCUGCCUGGAGCCGCCGUCGGUGCAGAUCUUGGUGGUAGUAGCAAAUACUCCAGCGAGGCCCUGGAGGGCUGACGCGGAGAAGGGUUUCGUGUGAACAGCCGUUGCACACGAGUCAGUCGAUCCUAAGCCCUAGGAGAAAUCCGAUGUUGAUGGGGGCCGUCAUAGCAUGAUGCAGUUUCUGCUGGCCCCCGUUGGGCGAAAGGGAAUCCGGUUCCUAUUCCGGAACCCGGCAGCGGAACCGAUACAAGUCGGGCCCCUCUUUUAGAGAUGCUCGUCGGGGUAACCCAAAAGGACCCGGAGACGCCGUCGGGAGAUCGGGGAAGAGUUUUCUUUUCUGCAUGAGCGUUCGAGUUCCCUGGAAUCCUCUAGCAGGGAGAUAGGGUUUGGAACGCGAAGAGCACCGCAGUUGCGGCGGUGUCCCGAUCUUCCCCUCGGACCUUGAAAAUCCGGGAGAGGGCCACGUGGAGGUGUCGCGCCGGUUCGUACCCAUAUCCGCAGCAGG